rnacentral:rRNA from 1 species
UACGGUAGGCAGCGAGCGUUGUUCGGAGUUACUGGGCGUAAAGGGUGUGUAGGCGGUUUUCUAAGUUUGGUGUGAAAUCUCCCGGCUACAACCGGGAGGGUGCGCCGAAAACUGGAAGACUAGAGUGCGGGAUGGGAGAGUAGAAUUCCUGGUGUAGCGGUGAAAAUGCGUAGAUAUCAGGAGGAAUAACCGGUGGUGUAGACGGCUCUCUGGACCGCAACUGGACGCUGAGACACGAAAGCGUGGGUAGCAAACAGG